ACCGGAGCUAAUACCGGAUAAUAUAUUGAACCGCAUGGUUCAAUAGUGAAAGACGGUUUUGCUGUCACUUAUAGAUGGAUCCGCGCCGCAUUAGCUAGUUGGUAGGGUAACGGCUUACCAAGGCAACGAUGCGUAGCCGACCUGAGAGGGUGAUCGGCCACACUGGAACUGAGACACGGUCCAG
rnacentral:rRNA from 1 species